rnacentral:rRNA from 1 species
AUGACUCCUUCAACAUCUACAUCAACCAAACCUUCUCCAAGCAACGACGACAAGUCAAGUUAUAAGAAAACUUCGGCAAGUUCAAGUCGCCUUCCUCCUACGACAAGCAACUUCAAGCCGCGUGCUUCAUCAUCUACUCCAACCGAUGAGACCGUCAAAACAAGCUCCUUCAAGUGUUUCACUUGUGGCGGACGAGGCCACAAAGCCUUCCAAUGCACCAACAAGCGCACCAUGAUCCUCAAUGAUGAUGGCACCUAUGACUCCAUGAGUGAAGAGGAGAUGGAAGCCAUUGAGAAAGUGGCCAUGCACUGGCGCGUGAACGAGGAUGAAGAUGAUCAAGUCUUUUGUGAUGAGGAUUCGAGCCCCGCUCUCGUUGUCUCCAAAGUCUUGACACUUCAACAUCAAUAA